UAAGGGAUAUUGCACAAUGGGCGCAAGCCUGAUGCAGCAACGCCGCGUGCCCGAUGAAGGCCUUCGGGUCGUAAAGGGCUUUUCUGGCUGAAGAGGACGGACGGUAAGCCAGGAAUAAGUGUCGGCUAACUACGUGCCAGCAGCCGCGGUAAAACGUAGGACGCAAGCGUUAUCCGGAGUUACUGGGCGUAAAGGGCGGGUAGGCGGGGUCUCAAGUGGGCUGUGAAAGCGCCCGGCUUAACCGGGCGAGGCCAGUCCAAACUGAGGCUCUGGAGGGCAGCAGAGGUGCGUGGAAUUCCGGGUGGAGUGGUGAAAUGCGUAGAGAUCCGGAGGAACACCAGAGGCGAAGGCGGCGCACUGGGCUGUACCUGACGCUGAACCGCGACAGCCAGGGGAGCGAACGGGAUUAGAAACCCCGGUAGUCCUGGCCGUAAACGAUGUUCACUGAGUGUCGGGGGGUUUCCCCUCGGCGCUGAAGCUAACGCGCUAAGUGAACCGCCUGGGGAGUACGGUCGCAAGGCUAA
rnacentral:rRNA from 1 species